ensembl:lncRNA
CAUUUGCAGAUACAUGGAAGGACCCAGAUACUGAUACUGAGUGAAGCCUCGGAGCUCUUGGGAAAGUCAUGAAGGUGGAGUCAACAUCUAACAUCAGCUGGAGACUCUGAGUCGUGUUGAACUUCUCUUCCUCUUGGGACUCCUUCUUGGCAUUUCCCCGGAGGGAGCUUCAAGCCUGGGACCUCAAGAGCCUGAAUACAUAAGAAGGAGGAGAGCAUGGGUCAGACCCUGAGAAAAACCAACAAUUUGAGGAGCAGAAGAAGAAUCUUCAAAAGGAGAAGAGAAGGAGAAAUGGGAGGAAAACUAGGAAUGCUUCCUGAAGCAUCCCUGAAGUGAAGGAAGUGAGUGCUUAGAAGCACUGAAUGUCAUCAGAUCCCAAAUCAACUGAUUUUUGUUUCGAUGGGUGAUGAAAAAGGAAACAACUUUUUGGAAACUCAGUAUCUUAAAACUGGGAGCUG